AAGUAGGAAAAGAACUACAUUUCCCAUCUGCCCUGGCUGUCACAGGCUGCUUUCCAUUGCCCUAAGGAGUGAUUCUACUGCGGCAACGAGACCAAAUACAACGAAAGUAUUGAUGCUGCAAAAGAAGACGGAUCUUUUGGUAGGCUGGUUAAUGAUGACCACAAGCACCCAAAUGGCAGAAUGCAGAAGACUGAAGUGGAUGGAAGCCCACAUCUUGGUCUGUUUGCUUUAACAGACUUUAAAGAAGGUGAUGAAAUUACCUGCAAUUACGGAGGAGGAGUCUGGUCUUGGUGCAGCAAGAUUUUCCAAAUGUCUUAAAUAUGCAGAUUAUGGAGGGGGACACUGCUGAGAACAAUGGCCAGGAGAAACAGCAGCCAUCACAGUCUACACCUUUUCUGGAUCAUAAAUAUCAGAAUUGUGUAGUUUGCUGGCACUUUUAAUCCUGCCUUUCAAUCACACCUCUCCAUAAUUUCCAACAUAAGCAUCCACUGGGACUCAGUAGGUUCCCUACUGCAUCUUCUCCAAGAAAACUGAGUACUCUUAGUUACUAUUUGGUACAUAUGCACAAACUGCAGUCAGAGUUUUCAUUCUUGAGACGUGAAAUGUAAGUUCACAGGCUUAAAUUAUACAUGCCUGAUUUUUUUCACAUAUGUAGGACCUCAGGAAAGUGGUGUCCCCACAAUACAUGGGUGGGACUACUGACCCCAGAAUGUUCUAAUUACAAAAAAUUGUGAGUGUGUGUGUGAGUGUGUGUGUGAGUGUGUGUGUGAGUGUGUGUGUGAGUGUGUGUGUGAGUGUGUGUGUGAGUGUGUGUGUGAGUGUGUGUGUGAGUGUGUGUGUGUGUGAGUGUGUGUGUGAGUGAGUGUGUGUGUGAGUGUGUGUGUGAGUGUGUGUGUGAGUGUGUGUGUGAGUGUGUGUGUGAGAGUGUGUGUGAGAGUGUGUGUGAGAGUGUGUGUGAGAGUGUGUGUGAGAGUGUGUGUGUGAGUGUGUGUGUGUGUGAGUGUGUGUGUGAGUGUGUGUGUGUGUGAGUGUGUGUGUGAGUGUGUGUGUGUGUGAGUGUGUGUGUGAGUGUGUGUGUGAGUGUGUGUGUGAGUGUGUGUGUGAGUGUGUGUGUGAGAGUGUGUGUGAGAGUGUGUGUGAGAGUGUGUGUGAGAGUGUGUGUGAGAGUGUGUGUGUGUGUGUGUGUGUUAAAGGUACAGGAGCAGUCUGGCUGUGCAGCUACAGUAAAUGUUAAUGUUAAUAAUAAUAAUAAUAGGACGUUAUUUAAAAGCUCAUACAGCUGAUGUUAUUUUUAUUUAGUAGUUAAUUUAACAUGCUAUGCUAACAUGUAAACAAUAAGAUAAUAUUACCUGACGUACAUUUUACACUCAAUAUUGUCUGUUUCUGUUCUAUUUCACCAACAAAAAUAUUUCCAAACAAAGCCACAGCAGGUCCUGCUCCUUUUUCCUCCUAAUUCCCUCAUUUCUCCACGUUGGGAUUAAUAAAGUAUUAUCUUAUUUCAUCUUUUGUUCAAAUGGGAGAUUUCUUAUUUAUUUUAUUUAUUUUGUUUAUUUUUAAAUAGGAGACUUUUUAAUACUUUUA